GUGGUUGGUGGUGAACCGUGGGCUUCAGUCUAGGACUAUACCUCUUAUUGCGGACAGUCACCCAGCCGCCCUGUCCUCCCGGCUGCUCGGGAGCUGAAGGAGCUAAAGAAGCUACACUGGAGCGGCUAGCACCGGCUAGCGGCGACUGGCUAACAGUCUCAGCUAACGACUUACUCUCCACGGUGCAGAGCCGCGCUUCUAACAGACUGAGCCUCGCCUCCAUCCUAGCAAGCAAACUACACUUACUAUAAGUAUCACUGUCGCUAAAGGAGGCGGAGGAGAAACUAAACAUGGAGCAAACAGAGCAGGAGACAGCAGGAGAGGAAGAAGCCAUUGUUAGCUGCUAAAGCUAACUAGCUAAGCUACGGUGAGGAGUGCAGAUAAGAGCGUGUCAACCGCUGUGAGUUAGCGAGCGAGUCGCUGAAAUAGGAAGAGAGCUGUGAGCGUUUAGACUAAACAUGGGAGAGUGGAGCGGAUAGUUGUCCCAAUAGUUAGAGGAAACCGCAGUGUUAAAGAGAGACGAGGAGGAGCGGUGGAUAAACACAGUUCACAGAAGCGACAACAACCGGAAGUGACACAAUACGUUACCGCGAGAGUUCCCAGUCCUAGUAACGACUCGGACGGACUAUUGCCUGGAACAGCCUUCGAGAUCUUCCUUGGACAAGAUUUCAUCAUCAACUGCACAAUUGUUUUCUGCAACGAUUCACCACCUGCUGUGACCUGGUAUAAAGAGUUGAACCGUUUUUAAUGGAUAUCGUUUUUGAUAUUCCAAAAAGUCCUCAGCAGCGACUCAGGUCUGUAUCAGUGUCGAAGUGGGUAUGAUGUGAGUCAUAGCAUCAACGUUUCUGUCCAUGUUGUGUGACUUUUUCAGUUAUUUAUUGGUGUAUAUGCAUAAGAAACCUGUGUUCACAUUGUACAGCUUACGUUUCUAAUAAGUGCUACUGACUAAGAAAAGGACAAGUGCAGUGCUACAUUUGGAUUUAGAAGUAAGAAACAUUCCCCCCUAUUUUAACACCGCCUAUGUUCAUAUGAUGAAAAAAAUUAUGACAAUAGCCCUGUAUAAUUUUAUGGGUGGUGGUGAACUUAACAUUGUUUCAUGGAAGAAUUCACAAGUAAGACAAGUCCAUUUAUGGUGUUUUGCACGUGUUUCCACCUGCCCUGCACAGUGUUACUUUAAUCUGAACUCAAACAUCUACCAAGGUUGAUAAAACAAUCUCGUAGUGAGAUUGUUUUAUCAACUGCCGUUUCUGAGGUCAAGAAUAAACUCAAGCUUAAAGCAUUUAUGGUAAAACAAAAAUAUGUGGCUUCACAGUUCCCCUUGAGACAGUCUACUUCAUGAGAGGUCACUUUCAGUUCCUUUAACCACGGCAAAUUGUGUUCACAAGAUCAAAGGUCACCAGUGCGUUUAAUCAGUUUUUAUUCUCCAUAAAAUACACUUGUCAUGCUAUAUAAUUCUCUAUAUUUGUAAUCUGCAUGUGUUUUCAUUUUGUGUCCUGCAGGUAACGACUCGGACGGACUAUUAAGUAAGACAAGUCCAUUUAUGGUGUUUUGCACGUGUUUCCACCUGCCCUGCACAGUGUUACUUUAAUCUGAACUCAAACAUCUACCAAGGUUGAAAAAAAAGGUUCUUGAUCUUGAAGUGUUCCCACCAUGAGAACUAACUACCUGACUAUCCUUAUGUUUCUGUUUUGGCGCUGCUUGGUUGCACUUUGGAAACUGACAGUAAGUUAUUGUUGAUCAUUUCUUAAAUGCUUCCUCGAGUCUGAGCAGGGUUUUGUUCUCCAUCUAUGUAGAUGGAAUCGUUUCCACGCAGCCAAUCAAAAUGAUUUGUUUGCAACCAUAUUUGGUGAAAGCAGGAGCCUGAUGUCAGAGUUGUAGGCAGAUGGUCACACGGUCCGAGCUGCUACACAAAAGGCACAGGCUUUGAACGACAACCGCAUUAGGUCUCCGUCUUAUCUCAUACACAAACAAGAUUAUUUUGGUGGCUCGUGUAGUCCUACUACCGUGCAGGACUACACAAAAAAGACUGUCAGCUUUUGUCAGCUUAAAACUAUGUACUCAUACAUUAAACUAC